UACCAGCACCCCGAGUGGUCGGGACGAUUAUUGGGCCUAAAGCAUCCGUAGCCGGUCAUGCAAGUCUUCCGUUAAAUCCAGCCGCUCAACGGUUGGGCUGCGGAGGAUACUACGUGGCUAGGAGGCGGGAGAGGCAAGCGGUACUCAGUGGGUAGGGGUAAAAUCCUUUGAUCCAUUGAAGACCACCAGUGGCGAAGGCGGCUUGCCAGAACGCGCUCGACGGUGAGGGAUGAAAGCUGGGGGAGCAAACCGGA
rnacentral:rRNA from 1 species